rnacentral:rRNA from 1 species
AUUGAACGCUGGCGGCAGGCCUAACACAUGCAAGUCGAGCGGAUGAAGGGAGCUUGCUCCUGGAUUCAGCGGCGGACGGGUGAGUAAUGCCUAGGAAUCUGCCUGGUAGUGGGGGAUAACGUCCGUAAACGGGCGCUAAUACCGCAUACGUCCUGAGGGAGAAAGUGGGGGAUCUUCGGACCUCACGCUAUCAGAUGAGCCUAGGUCGGAUUAGCUAGUUGGUGGGGUAAAGGCCUACCAAGGCGACGAUCCGUAACUGGUCUGAGAGGAUGAUCAGUCACACUGGAACUGAGACACGGUACAGACGACUACGGGAGGCAGCAGUGGGGAAUAUUGGACAAUGGGAGAAAGCAUGAUAAAGCAAUGCCGCGUGUGUGAAGAAGGUCUUCGGAUUGUAAAGCACUUUAAGUUGGGAGGAAGGGAAGUAAGUUAAUACCUUGCUGUUUUGACGUUACCAACAGAAUAAGCACCGGCUAACUUCGUG